GUAUUUACCUGUCAGGGGAGAAACCAGGAUCACAAAGUGGUUUUCCCAGAGCAAGCCUUAUCCAUUUUACUCUGGAUCUGCCGAGCCCUGCGAUUUCUCCAAAUGUGGGGAACUCCACUGCAUAAUUUGUGGGUGGAGGGAGGACUGGGUUCGAAAGAAAAAAAGAAGAAGAUUCCAUA
rnacentral:snRNA from 1 species